CGUGUAUUUAUGAGCCCAUCUCCACAGCAUCCAUCUGUGAAGUUGUCAGCUUUGUGUCCUGGCAUGCUCUUACCAGAUUCUCUCUCA